CCUACGGGAGGCUGCAGUGAGGAAUAUUGGUCAAUGGCCGGAAGGCUGAACCAGCCAUGCCGCGUGAAGGUCAGUGCCCUAUGGGCGUUAAACUUCUUUUGUGCGGGAGCAAUAAUGGUCACGUGUGGCCAGACGAGAGUACCGUACGAAUAAGCAUCGGCUAACUCCGUGCCAGCAGCCGCGGUAAUACGGGGGAUGCAAGCGUUAUCCGGAUUUAUUGGGUUUAAAGGGUGCGUAGGCUGUGAGGUAAGUCAGCGGGGAAAUGCCCCCGCUCAACGGGGUGAAGUGCCAUUGAUACUGCCUUGCUGGAAUGCGGAUGCCGUGGGAGGAAGGUGUGGUGUAGCGGUGAAAUGCAUAGAUAUCACACAGAACACCGAUUGCGAAGGCAUCUCACGAAUCCGCGAUUGACGCUGAUGCACGAAAGCGUGGGUAUCAAACAGGAUUAGAUACCCCAGUAGUC
rnacentral:rRNA from 1 species